UACGUAGGGUGCAAGCGUUAUCCGGAAUUAUUGGGCGUAAAGAGCUCGUAGGCGGCCUGUUGCGUCCGCUGUGAAAACUCGGGGCUCAACCCCGAGCCUGCAGUCGAUACGGGCAGACUAGAGUGCUGUAGGGGAGACUGGAAUUCCUGGUGUAGCGGUGAAAUGCGCAGAUAUCAGGAGGAACACCGGUGGCGAAGGCGGGUCUCUGGGCAGUAACUGACGCUGGAGGAGCGAAAGCGUGGGGAGCGAACAGG
rnacentral:rRNA from 1 species